UACGAAGGUGGCAAGCGUUACUCGGAAUUACUAGGCGUAAAGGGCAGGUAGGUGGUUUGGUUAGUCUGUUGUGAAAGCUCCCGGCUUAACUGGGAGAGGUCAACGGAUACUGCCAGACUUGAGUAUAGGAGAGGUUACUGGAAUUCCCGGUGUAGCGGUGAAAUGCGCAGAGAUCGGGAGGAACACCAAUGGCGAAAGCAGGUAACUGGACUAUUACUGACACUCAGCUGCGAAAGCUAGGGGAGCAAACAGG
rnacentral:rRNA from 1 species